ACAUGUGAAAUAAGGAAAGAAGAUAAAAUUACAGAGGGCAUGUAACUUCAUAAUUAGAAAGAAAGGUAUUCAGUGAACACAAUAAACUCAACGUGAAAAUACAUCAACAUGAAUAUCUUGCAUUUAGCCUUUAUUCGUAUGCAGAUGAAGAUCAUAUUCUACACAAAAGACUAUUCUCAAAUAGAAUAUUACUAUUCGACAAAUAGAUAUUCCUCAUUUCCUUUUAAACUCAGGGGAGUAAUAAACUUGAAUCAAAUUGGCCUAGACAAU
rnacentral:lncRNA from 1 species